AGUGGGGAAUUUUGGACAAUGGGCGAAAGCCUGAUCCAGCAAUGCCGCGUGUGAGAAGAAGGCCUUCGGGUUGUAAAGCACUUUUGUCCGGAAAGAAAUCCUUGGCUCUAAUACAGUCGGGGGAUGACGGUACCGGAAGAAUAAGCACCGGCUAACUACGUGCCAGCAGCCGCGGUAAUACGUAGGGUGCGAGCGUUAAUCGGAAUUACUGGGCGUAAAGCGUGCGCAGGCGGUUUGCUAAGACCGAUGUGAAAUCCCCGGGCUCAACCUGGGAACUGCAUUGGUGACUGGCAGGCUAGAGUAUGGCAGAGGGGGGUAGAAUUCCACGUGUAGCAGUGAAAUGCGUAGAGAUGUGGAGGAAUACCGAUGGCGAAGGCAGCCCCCUGGGCCAAUACUGACGCUCAUGCACGAAAGCGUGGGGAGCAAACAGGAUUAGAUACCCUGGUAGUCCACGCCCUAAACGAUGUCAACUAGUUGUUGGGGAUUCAUUUCCUUAGUAACGUAGCUAACGCGUGAAGUAGACCGCCUGGGGAGUACGGUCGCAAGAUUAAAACUCAAAGGAAUUGACGGGGACCCGCACAAGCGGUGGAUCAUGUGGAUUAAUUCGAUGCAACGCGAAAAACCUUACCUACAUCUUGACAUGGUCUGAAUCCCUUCUAGAGAUAGAAGUUUCCCCUUCGGGGAACAACAUCACAGGUGCUGCAUGGUUGUCGUCAGCUCGUGUCGUGAGAUGUUGGGUUAAGUCCCGCACCGAGCGCAACCCUUAAGCUUAGUUGCCAUCAUUAAGUAGAGCACUCUAAGUUGACUGCCGGUGACAAACCGGAGGAAGGUGGGGAUGACGUCAAAUCAUCAUGCCCCUUAUGAUUUGGGCUACACACGUGCUACAAUGGACAAUACAAAGGGCAGCCAACCCGCGAGGUCAAGCAAAUCCCAUAAAGUUGUUCUCAGUUCGGAUUGUAGUCUGCAACUCG
rnacentral:rRNA from 1 species